GGAGAGACUUAGAAUCCCCGUGGACAGACGUGUGAAUAGUAGUGUCUUUGGCCGGGCGCCGCGGUUCGUGAAUC
rnacentral:ncRNA from 1 species